GAUCCUGGCUUAGGAUGAACGCUGGCGGCGUGCUUAACACAUGCAAGUCGAACGAAGCAACUUAUUACGAUCCCUUCGGGGUGACGAUUGUUGACUGAGUGGCGGACGGGUGAGUAACGCGUGGGUAACCUGCCUUGUACAGGGGGACAACAGUUGGAAACGACUGCUAAUACCGCAUAAGCGCACAGCUUCGCAUGAAGCAGUGUGAAAAGUUUUUCAGUACAAGAUGGACCCGCGUCUGAUUAGCUAGUUGGUGAGGUAACGGCCCACCAAGGCGACGAUCAGUAGCCGACCUGAGAGGGUGACCGGCCACAUUGGGACUGAGACACGGCCCAAACUCCUACGGGAGGCAGCAGUGGGGAAUAUUGCACAAUGGGCGAAAGCCUGAUGCAGCGAACCGCCGCGUGAGCGAAGAAGUAUUUCGGUAUGUAAAGCUCUAUCAGCAGGGAAGAUAAUGACGGUACCUGACUAAGAAGCACCGGCUAAAUACGUGCCAGCAGCGGC
rnacentral:rRNA from 1 species